rnacentral:rRNA from 1 species
AAAGCUCGUAGUUGGAUUUCUGCAAGAGUUGGACGGCCUGAGCUUCACAGAAGUUUCAUGGAACAGUCACGACUUUUGCAUCCUGUCACAAACUGCUCUGGUCUUAACUGAUUGGGGUUCAGGGACUGACACAUUUACUUUGAGAAAAAUAGAGUGUUCAAAGCAGGCAUAUGCCUUGAAUAAAUUAGCAUGGAAUAAUAAGAUAGGACUUUGGUUCUAUUUUGUUGGUUGUUCGAGGACCGAAGUAAUGAUUGAGAGGGAUGGUUGGGGGCAUUAGUAUUCUAAAGCGAGAGGUGAAAUUCGUAGACCUUUGGAAGACUAACUACUGCGAAAGCAUUUGCCAAGGACAUUCCCUUUAAUCAAGAACGAAAGUUGGGGGAUCGAAGACGAUCAGAUACCGUCGUAGUCUCAACUAUAAACUAUACCGGCUAAGGAUUGGCCAACGUUUAUUUUCGACUUGGUCAGCACUUUAUGGGAAACCAAAGCAUUUGGGUUCCGGGGGGAGUAUGGUCGCAAGGCUGAAACUUAAAGGAAUUGACGGGAGGGCACCACCAGGAGUGGAGCCUGUGGCUUAAUUUGACUCAACACGGGGAA